GACGAACGCUGGCGGCGUGCCUACUACAUGCAAGUCGAACGCAGUGGGGACGGGUGAGUAACACGUGGGUAACCUCCCAUCAGAGGGGUUAACACUUGGAAACAGGUGCUAAACCGAUACUGAUGGAUGGACCCGCGGUGCAUUAGCUAGUUGGUGAGGUAACGGCUCACCAAGGCCACAAUUCAUAGCCGGCUGGUGAGGGUGGUGGGCAUGACGGGGACUGAGACAGAGCCCAGAUUCCGACGGGAGACAGCAGUGGGGAAUCUUCGGCAAGGGACGAAAGUCUGACCGAGCAACGCCGCUUGAGUGAGUAUGGUUGUCGGUUCGUAAAGCUCUUGUGUUAGAGAAGCGGUAUCUAACCAGAAAGCAACGGCUAAGUACGUGCCAGCAUCCGCGGUAAUUC
rnacentral:rRNA from 1 species